rnacentral:rRNA from 1 species
GACGAACGCUGGCGGCGUGCUUAACACAUGCAAGUCGAACGGAAAGGCCCUGCUUUUGUUGGGUGCUCGAGUGGCGAACGGGUGAGUAACACGUGAGUAACCUGCCCUUGACUUUGGGAUAACUUCAGGAAACUGGAGCUAAUACCGGAUAGGAGCUCCGGCUGCAUGGUGGGGGUUGGAAAGGUUGGGCGGUUGGGGAUGGACUCGCGGGUUAUCAGCUUGUUGGUGGGGUGGUGUCUUACCCAUGCUUUGAGGGGUAGCCGGCCUGAGAGGGGGACCGGCCACAUGGGGACGGAGAUACGGCGCAGAGUCGUACGGGAGGCAGAGGUGGGGAAUAGUGCACAAGGGGGGCACGCCUGAGGCAGCGACGCGGCGUGCGGGAGGAGGGGCUGCGGGUUGUGAACAGCUUUCAGCAGGGGCGAAGCUUGGGGUGACGGGACCUGCAGAAGAAGCACCGGCUAACUACGUG